UACGGGGGGGGCAAGCGUUGUUCGGAAUUACUGGGCGUAAAGGGCGCGUAGGCGGCCUGCUAAGUCGGACGUGAAAUCCCUCGGCUCAACCGAGGAACUGCGUCCGAUACUGGUGGGCUUGAAUCCGGGAGAGGGAUGUGGAAUUCCAGGUGUAGCGGUGAAAUGCGCAGAUAUCAGGAAGAACACCCGUGGCGAAAGCGGCUCUCUGGAACGGUACUGACGCUGAGACGCGAAAGCGUGGGGAGCGAACAGG
rnacentral:rRNA from 1 species